GUCAACGUUAUAAACCAGUAAACUCUAGAAAACGAACAUCGUCUUCAAGUGGUCAGAUGCUGUUUUAGUUUCGAUUUGAGGGUGUUUAUCUACUUUCUGUGAGUUACACUAAGUAGAGCGGUUAUGUUUGCAAUACAGAAACGUUAGGUGGAGACACGUCCAUUUGAUGCAGGAUGUCCUUUAUAUAAAGCGAAACAACUUUCCACACACACACAAGAAACCAAAUCUGCUGCUAACAGACUCGCGACGGAUGCUAGUGCUAGCAUCAGUGUUGCGGGUGUGUUAUAAACAACAGAGAGGGUCAUUACUGUCACUGCACACGUGUAUUAAUCUUUAUUAUCGUGUAGCAUGACAUCCUCGACACAUUUGAUGAUCUUUAUUUGAUGUGUGUGGUGUUAUAAACUCGGAGGCAUCGGCUAAGUCGCGUCUUUGUGUCAUUUUUCUUAGUAAUGAACGCAGACGUAUUUACCGGUGUGUUUGGCUUAAGUUACUGCAAACAGUUUCAGUCCCGUGUUUCAGACACAAAUGAUUCCUCAUCAUGUGUUCCCGUGUGCUGCUGAGGAUAGACGUGCUGUUAUUUAAAGUGACCAGACUUAUGGUUUCACCUGCUUGACGAUGAAUCGAGUGAAAAGUCCGUCUGAAACAUUUCUACAGACCAGAAUAUGACAGAGCCUGCGUCACAAUGUGCAUAAUAUCGAUCCAAAAUUUUAUGUGAUUAGUAAUUUUCAAUAUUAUUUAUGGCAGAUAGGGUGGAUAGUAUGCACAUUGGGACGCAGGCAGAUACUUUUUCAUAUCAGUCAUGUGGGGUCUUUUGACCAGUAAACAUCCACCCACUCAGAGCACACAGAGUAGGAACUAACAUUAACCAUUACUCGCACACUAACCUGUAUUUGAUAUUGAUUUUUGCUACUAAAAUUAAAAGGACGAGUUGUAUCGUUGGAUAACACUCCUUCACUCCAUCACUCAUGUUGUGUUUCCUGAUCCUCAGAUGGCCUUACACAGCUGGAACUGGAGCAGAUAUCUUGAGCUGUCAACAUUUCUCUGAUCUUUCCAAUUGUCAUUGGAAACUUCAGAUGCAGAAGAUCACGACUGCAGUGACAAUCCACAGAGAUCCAACAACAGCAGAAACCAGCACUAUCAGAGAUACAGAGACUGGAGGAACUGAAGAAGAGUAAAAGAGAGACAGUCAUGAAUGUCUUGUAGACGUGCUGGUCCACGCUUCCUACAAGUGGGUGGCGGUAAUGCUCCAGCUCGUUUGUCAACCGCCACUAAACCGAAGAAGAAGAAGAAGAAGAAGAAGAAGAAGAAGAAGAAGAAGAAGAAGUAGAAGUAGAGGUACUAGUCAGACAGUUUAUUAGUUUCGUUUCUGAGGCUGUGUUUAUCUGCUUUCUCUGGCGGUUUUUAGGUUUACAACACCGACACAUUAGGUGGAGACACAUUCAUUUGAUGAUGGAUGCUAUUUACUUAAAACGCAACAACAUGACAGCUUUGCAGACCAACAAUCACAAAAGACAAACAAACACAAACAGACGAAAAGAUCCCUAGCAGACGGAUCUGAACGGAUGCUAGUGUUGUGGCGGGUGUGUUAUAAACAGUAGAGAGGGUUAUUUAGUGUCACUGCACACGUGUAUUAAUGUUUUAUUAUCAUGCAGCAUGAAAUACUCGACACAUUUGAUGCUCUUUAUUUGACUGUAAGACUGUUUUAUGUGACCACCGCUCAUGUUUGCGUGACGUCAUAAAACCGGGCGGCAUCGCUGUACCCCAGGAGGGGUGUACAUAGCGCCCUUGUGUCACUUUUAAAAAGUGUGACAACUUUACCGCAAAGUUUCAGUGUGUUCCAGACACGAAUGAUUCAUGUGUUCCCUUGUGUUGCUGAGGAGGGGUGUGCUGUUAUUUAAAGUGACCAGACUUAUGUUUUUCGAGGAGGAAUCAGGUGAAAAGUCCCUCCGAGACAUAUCUACAGACCAGAAUAUGACAGAGAAUUUAUCAUAUCAGUCAUGUGGGCUCUUCUGACCAGUAAACAACACAAACAGUUACACAGAGCACACUAGCAGCAGAAGUGAAGCUACAGGUUUUCAGCUGUGGCCCACCCAGUAAGUUAUUUAUCAAAACUAAGAUAAUAUAUAUAAAUGUAUAGUUUCACUGUAACGUCAUAUAAUUAUAUACUUUAAAAUAUAUUUAAUGUGAGAUUUCAUGGUCAAUUCUGGGCAGUUAUUAAUUUUCCCUACAGUACA
rnacentral:lncRNA from 1 species